rnacentral:rRNA from 1 species
AGUGAACGCUGGCGGUAGGCCUAACACAUGCAAGUCGAACGGCAGCACAGUAAGAGCUUGCUCUUACGGGUGGCGAGUGGCGGACGGGUGAGGAAUACAUCGGAAUCUACUUUUUCGUGGGGGAUAACGUAGGGAAACUUACGCUAAUACCGCAUACGACCUACGGGUGAAAGCAGGGGAUCUUCGGACCUUGCGCGAUUGAAUGAGCCGAUGUCGGAUUAGCUAGUUGGCGGGGUAAAGGCACCACCAAGGCGACGAUCCGUAGCUGGUCUGAGAGGAUGAUCAGCCACACUGGAACUGAGACACGGUCCAGACUCCUACGGGAGGCAGCAGUGGGGAAUAUUGGACAAUGGGCGCAAGCCUGAUCCAGCCAUACCGCGUGGGUGAAGAAGGCCUUCGGGUUGUAAAGCCCUUUUGUUGGGAAAGAAAAGCAGCAGGUUAAUACCCCGCUGUUCUGACGGUACCCAAAGAAUAAGCACCGGCUAACUUCGUG